GAGUUUGAUCCUGGCUCAGGAUGAACGCUGGCGGCGUGCCUAAUACAUGCAAGUCGAGCGAACAGAUAAGGAGCUUGCUCCUUUGAAGUUAGCGGCGGACGGGUGAGUAACACGUGGGUAACCUACCUAUAAGACUGGGAUAACUUCGGGAAACCGGAGCUAAUACCGGAUAACAUUUAGAACCGCAUGGUUCUAAAGUGAAAGAUGGUUUUGCUAUCACUUAUAGAUGGACCCGCGCCGUAUUAGCUAGUUGGUAAGGUAACGGCUUACCAAGGCGACGAUACGUAGCCGACCUGAGAGGGUGAUCGGCCACACUGGAACUGAGACACGGUCCAGGCUCCUACGGGAGGCAGCAGUAGGGAAUCUUCCGCAAUGGGCGAAAGCCUGACGGAGCAACGCCGCGUGAGUGAUGAAGGGUUUCGGCUCGUAAAACUCUGUUAUUAGGGAAGAACAAAUGUGUAAGUAACUGUGCACAUCUUGACGGUACCUAAUCAGAAAGCCACGGCUAACUACGUGCCAGCAGCCGCGGUAAUACGUAGGUGG
rnacentral:rRNA from 1 species